ensembl:lincRNA
AAUUCACACUCAGAAACACUGUCCACCGAAGAAAAGAGCUUCAGAGUGACAGAAGAGAGCACGCUGAACAGGGUCUUCAGGGUUCCGCACUUCACAGACGUUCUCAGUCGCAGGAGCCGGCGUUUGCCUGAAAGUUCGGGUGGACACACUGUACUGAGGACAGACUGGGGUCACGAGCAAAAUCCGAAGUCCAUACAUGGAAGGGUGAGAGUGACAUGCCUCGCCCUGCGCUCCCUCUCUAGCUCACACACACGCGCGCGCACACACACAUACGCGCGCACACGCACGCACGCAUAUGCACACACGCGCGCGCACACACGGAGGAGGCAUUUCCAGCCGGCACACCACCGGCCCCGCCAGCGUCCUCACCCCCGAGGGACGGUGCGGAGGCCGGGGAGCCCACCUCCGCGCCCCGCCCGGCUCCGGGGACGGCUCCGCCCCCGCAGGCCUCGGGGAGAGCGGGUGCUCACUUGCAGACUCCGCCUCCGGCCCACCGAGGCUGCUGCCCUUGAUUCUCUGCUUCCUUUGAUUCUCGCUUUGUUUCCACAGGAGCCCGGGAGUCCCCAGCUCCCCGCUGCAGCUCAGCUCAGGAGCGCUGCCAUCCAGAGAAGAGGCGGCGUCGGCACUGGAGACGGGCGCGGAAAGACCCUGCCCGGGAGGCGGCGGCGUCCCGCACUCGAGGCGGAGGCCGGCCGGCCCCAGCGCCGCGGACGCCGCUCAGCCACAGCCGCGCUGCCUGGAGCCGCCGCCGCCUCCACCGCUGUGCUCUGCGGCCGCUGGAUGCUGCACGCAAUCAUUUUGUUUGUUUGUUUGUUGUUUUUUUUGUUUUUCUCCGGUACCGGGAACCGAACUCACGACCUUGCGCUUGCCAGGCAGGCGCUUUUGCCGCUGAGCUAAAUCCCCAGCCCCUGCACGCAAUCAUUUUAAACUUCAGCUCUGGUAAAAUAUAUAAAAGUGCAAGCAAAGAAGACAGAUUUUGAAGUCUACAGCAAAUGAGUUCCUAAAAAAAAAAGUCUUCGGUCCAUGUACUACUCACAUGUAAAAGACUCGCCUGCGCAGGUGUGCAUAGUUUUAAAUGACAGGCGGCCUCGUCAUGGAGGAGCGCAGGCUCCUAAGUUCCCUGAGCAAGAUUGAUUCUCCACAGCCAGAACGGCGCGUUGGGCUCCUAGAUAAUUUGUAAUGAAUCGAAUUUUCCUUCAGCAUACCUAAUUAGUGACUCUCGUUUGCCGCUUAAAAGGAUACAGACACUUAAUAAAUGUUUGGAAAUUCUGUUACAAUGCUGGAAAGGCUUGAAGCCUGCUUUGCAUCCUGAAACCCAGCAGUGUCACCCCUAAAUAUAUACCCAAAAGAACUGAGGCAUGUACGUAAGCAAAUACUUAUGCGUACAUGUUCGUGGCAGCAGCACUAUUCAAAAUAGCCAAAAGGCUGGAAACAAGCAAACGUCCACUAAGUGGUGAAAAGUAAAUAAAACAGAAUAUACAUAUAGCUAUGAAUUCGAUCCUCAGAGACUGAGGAAUUAAUACUUCCUCCGAGGUGGAUGGACCUAGACAGUAUUGUGCUAAGAGAAAGAAGCCAGCCACAAAAGAGAACAUAUCGUCUGAUUCUAUCCACAGGAAGCGCCAGAGAAAGUAAAUUCAUAUACAUACAGCAGGACAGCAGUUGUCAGGGGCUGAGGUGAGAGGGUGAUGGUGAAUCCUGAAAGUGUGUGGCUUCCUGUGAGGUUGUGAAAAUGUUUCAGAACUAGAUAGAGGUGAUGUGUCACUACAUUGUGAACAUCCUAACAGGCACUUAACUGGAUUCUUUAAAGCAAGUAAUUUUAUAUUGUAUGAUUUUUUUGAUUUUAAAGAGAAAAAGGAACAAUAACGAAAUCAGAGGAAAGACAAAAACAAAACAACACAAAAACAAUAAAAAUGAUACAGAAUUUCAAAACAAGAUGACAGGAAUUAACAAUGCUUGUUAUAUUACAUAUUGUUAUCUUCAACAAAGUUGCUCAGAUUACCAGAUGUAAGAAUACAAGACUGAUCAAAUAAAGAGAAUAAAAAGUAAUUUGAAAAGCAUUAGAAACGGUACAGAGUGGUAGGAAAUCAACAAUGGUUUAUAUAUUGCAUAUUAUUGUCUUCAUAUUAGUUGUUCAGAUUACCAGAUAUAAGCAUGCAACACUGGUCAAGAAAAAAAAUUAAGCAUUAACCGUUCCUUUCAAUAAACCAGUAGACAUCAGCAGUGCAACUAUCCCAGCUAUCCUUGUAUAUACAUAUAUAUUUUUUUCCUCUUUUCUUUCUUUUCCCUUACUCUCAUUUCAGUUGUUCCUUCCCUUUGAGCAAUUUCUUUCCCUUUCACAGUAUCUAUUGUAUAUUUUUGGUUUUAUUUACUCUUUCAGCUUCUU